rnacentral:lncRNA from 1 species
GAAAAAGGGUGUAUAUAUAUGUAUAUAAUUGUAUGUAUAGAUAGAAAACAGAGCAAACAGAGAGGUAAACAGUGAACAAAGAAAGCUGAAUAGUUUGGUUCUAAUUUGUCUCCUUGUUUUACUUGGAUUAGGAAAUAGCCUCAAUUCCUUUGUUCUCCCCCCUUCUUACAAGAAAAAGAAUUAGAGAAAACAAUUAAGGUGAAGCAGGGUCGGAAACGAUGAAUCUCGAGCUUUAUUUAUAAUAUAAAGUGCUUUAUUUUAUAGCCAUUUUUAGGGUUUGGAACGGCGGAACUUAAUUUUUAUGGAUCGUAUAAAGUGGUUAAUUUUAUAACCGUUAUAGGGUCAACGGUGAAUCUCAAUUUUUAUGGGUGGUAUAAACUGAACUAUUUUACAACUGUUAUAUGGUCAGAAACGACAAAUCUUGAUUUUUAUGGAUGGUAUAAAGUGAUUUAUUUUAUAGACGUUAUAGGGUCAACGACGACUCUCGAUUUUUAUGAUCAGUAUAAAGUAGUCUAUAUUACAGUUGUAAAAGGGUCAACGACGAAUCUCGAUUUUUAUGGAUGGUAUGAAGUGAUUUAUUCUAUAAUUAUUAUAGGGUCAACGAUGACUCUCGAUUUUUAUGAUCAGUGUAAAAUGGUCUAUUUUGACAGUCGUUAUAAGGUCAACGAUGAAUCUCAAUUUUUAUGGGUGGUAUAAAGUGAUUUAUUUUAUAAUUGUUAUAUGGUCAAUGAUGACUAUCGAUUUUUAAGAAUAGUAUAAACUGAUUUAUUUUGACCGCCGUUAUAGGAUUAAUGAAUCUCGACUUGUGUAGUUGUUACGGGGUCAAUGACGACACUCAAAAUAUAUGAAUAGUAUGAACUAAUCUAUUGUGAUAGUUGUUAUAGGGUCAACGGCAUAUCUCAUUUUUUAUGGAUACUAUAAAGUAAUUUAUUUUAUAGUUGUUAUACGGUUAAUGACAAUUUUCAAUUUUUAUGGAUAAUAUAAAGUGGUAUAUUUUAUAAUCGUUAUAGGGUCCACGACGAAUCUCGAUUUUUAUGAAUAGUAUAAAGUGAUUUAUUUUAUAGUCGUUAUAGGGUCAACGACGAAUCUUGAUUUUUAUGGAUAGUAUAAAGUGAUUUAUUUUGUAGCUGUUAUAUGGUCAACGUCCAAUCUCAAUUUUUAUGGACAAUAUAUAGUGAUCAAUUUUACGAUCAUUAUAGGGUCAACGGCGAAUCUCGAUUUCUAUGAAUAGUAUAAAGUGAUUUAUUUUAUAGUCGGUAUAGGGUCAAUAGCGAAUCUUUACUUUUAUGGAUAGUAUAAAGUGAUUUAUUUUGUAGACGUUAGAGGGUCAACGUCCAAUCUCAAAUUUUAUGGACAGUAUAGAGUGAUCGACUUUGCAAUCAUUUUAGGAUCAACGACAAAUCGCAAUUUUUAUGAAUAGUAGAAAGUGAUUUGUUUUAUAGUCAUUAUAGGGUCAAUGGCGACGAAUCUUGACUUUUAUUGAUAGUAUGAAGUGAUUUAUUUUGUAGUCAUUAGAGGGUCAACGUCCGCUCUCAAUUUUUAUGGACAAUAUAAAGUGAUCGAUUCGACAAUCAUUAUAGGGUCAACCGCGAAUCUCAAUUUUUAUGAGUAGUAUAAAGUGAUCUAUUUUAUAGUUGUUAUGGGGACACCGACGAAUCUCAAUUUUUAUGAAUAGUAUAAUGUGAUCUAUUUUGAUAGUCGUUAUAUGGUUAAUGGUGAAUCUUGAUUUUUAUAAGCUUAUUUUUUUAGUCAUUAUAGGGUCAACGACGAAUCUCAAUUUUAUAAAUAGUAUAAAUUGAUCUAUUUUAUAGCCUAUAGGAUCACGAGCGACGAAUCUCAAUUUUUAUGAAGAGUACAAUUAAGUGAUCUAUUUUACCGAUAUUAUAGGGUCAAGAAAGACGAAUCUCAAUAUUUAUUGAUAAUACAAAGCAAUCUAUUGAAAAGAUUUAAUGAACUAAUAAUAUUAACAUAAACAUUGAAAAUUGAUAAAGAUAUUUAGAAUCAUUAUUAUGCAUUAAAAUUGAAGUGAUCAUCUUAUAGUUAUUAUGAAAUACAUCGAAUAAGUGUUAAGCAUGUUAAUUACAUGUGUGUGGAUAAUACAAGUAAGUAAUUAACGGUCAUAAUUAGAAAAUCAAGCUUACAUUUAGACAUGUGAUAUGAAAUCAUCGAAUUUCAAUUUCUCUAAAAAAAAAGUAUAACUUGAUAUUCUAAAUCAUGAUCUAAGACUUGACCCGUAAAAUUUAUAUUAGAAAAAAAAAACACUUGUAAAAUCUUAUAAUAUUACUUGAUAUUCGUAUUUUAAAGAUUUGACAUGUAAGGAUAUUAAGAGAUCUUUUGAUAAGGUGUGACACAAAUUAAAAGAAUUAUUUUCAUUUUCCACUUUUAAAAGAAAAAAUGUAUACAUUAAGUUUAUUUUGUCUCUCAUAGAAAUAUUGAUCAAUCGAUAAAUAUAUUUGAAAAUCGUUAUUAUGAAUUUACAUAUCGAGAUAUGUCGACAUACAUGAUAUAAUCGUGUUUCAUGAUCGUUAAUAAUCGGGGUUGAAUUGAAAAGGUCUUAAUUAUUCAUCAUUGAAGAUAUUUUUGUAAUGUAGAAGUUAAGAAACAAAAAGUUUAUUAAAAAUUCUAAAAGGAAUUGCUUGGAGAUCAAGUUUUAUGUUAGUUGAAAGUGUUUCUCCUUUUUUGUGCAUUCGUAUUUCGAGAUUUUCUAUACGCUACUUAAAAGCGUAUUAUCAUAUAAUUCCACGAAAAUGAUUUUUUUCUAGAGAUGAUAAUCAAUUACUUAAAGAGUAAUUUUGAAGAGGAUAGUACAUGGAAUAAGGGGCGACAUUAUAAUGACUCUGGUUCAACUAUUAAGAUAUUAUUCGCUUAAAACUUAAGUAUAUACCUCAAUAAUUAAUUUAUCAUUUCAAUAUAAAACUCAUGUACACCUUCUCGAUAGACUUAUCCUCCAUUACGAACAUCACAUACACAUAAGGUAAUUGAAAAAACAUGUUUCACACCUCUAGAAAUAAAAUAAAUAUAUUUGGUCUUAGAAUUAAAUGAUGAUUAUUAUUCAACUAACUAGUAGCUGCAAGUUUGGCAGUUGGUAAGCAUUUGGUAGUGGGUAAAAAGUAUGUUAUUCAUUAUUUAUUUUUUACUAUUCGUUGUUCGAUAUCUGUAUUGAAGUCCGAUUACUCUAGAUUCACGCCCUGUAGGGCUUCAUUUAGAAAAAAUAUUUUCUAUCAAGAAUUUUUUUAAUAUCCAAAGCUCAACUCAAAACUUCUGAUUAAAGAAAAAAUAAUUUUAUUCACUGCAUUACAUCAUUUGCCAGUAUAAAUAUAUUGUAAAUGAAGGACAUUUUUACCAAACAUUUUAAACUAUUUUUUCAAGAAAGAUACAAAAAUAAAUUGUCCUUAUAUUAUUUAUUACAUCACUUUCCUGACUAUCUUUAUACUAUAUUUUGUACUAAUAUGAUAUAUGACAUAAAGUAACAAAGGCAAGACAUAAUAUAUAAACAUGAUCCUUAAUUUGACGUCAGUUGACAACUAUGACUUUUAACUUUAGUUGUGCACAAGUAGAUACUUAAACUUUUAUAAAGUUGAACAAAUAAACACAUCCGUCCUACAUGGCACCUUACAUGGAACUUUUGUGUCCUACGUGGCAUCUUACAUGUAUUAUGUCAUGUAGGACAUGUGUGUCUACUUGUUCAAUUUUAUACAAGUUUAAGGGCUUACUUGUGCACACUCAAAGUUGGAGGGCAUAGUUAUCCAUUGAAGCCAAGUUAAGAGUCAUGUUUAUGUAUUUAUGCCGAAAUGGUGUGAUAAUUCAUCUUCAUUCUAAAAAAUAUAUUUAAAAUAAAUAAAUGCUGGUCCUGUUACUCAAGAUAAGGAUUUAAUAUUUUAAAGUAAUUGGAAUUUUUCUUUUUUACCAACAAUUUCGGACUUUUUUUUUUGCUUUAUCACUUUUUGGAAUAGUUAAAUGGAAGCUUUGAACAACAAUAAGUAUAUGUUUACUUUUAAUUAAAAGUAUCUAUCUUUCUUGAUUUUAAAAUAUCGAUAAAUAUAUUUUUAUGUGAUUUAUAAAUUAUAAGCUCGAAUUCUAAAAAUAGUUAAUUAAUAUUUAGAAUAGAUUGUUUAUAGCAUUUGAGAUGCGAUCCUUUUCUAAAAUGCAGAAUACUUUGUGUACCAUCUCUUUGAAAUAAUUCUUUAAUAUUAUUGUAUUACAGUAUUUUUAUAUUUAUAAUUUAUCGAUAUUUUAAAUCACGAUUUAAUCUAAUAAAAAAAAAAGUUAAAUACUAUCGAAAAUUGUAUAGACGUUAGAUGUCUUCUAAUAGCUUAGUAGAAUUAUGGGAAUUUUUUUUGCAAAAAUGAAUUUGUGGUGUGAGUUUAAAAUAUUCGGAUAAGUGACUAAAGUUAGAAUAUUUUUAAAAUUAAAUACCAUAUGCCGUACAAAAAAAAUUAUAGGUGAAUAAUCCCAUAAUAAUUCAAGUAAUUAAUCAUUAAAAGGUAGGGUAUCCUGACAUACUUUUCUUUUUUUAAAAAAAUAUAUUCUUAUAUUAAAAAUACUUUAUAAUCACAAUGCUACGACAUAGUUUAGAUCAUAAUUUUUUUUUAAAAUUUCGUGCUCAAUAAGAUAAUAUCACAUAAUAUAUUACUUAUUAUUAUGUCGAAUUUAAAGUAUGAAUGGUGCGAAUAAGAAACCACGUGUCUUUUUCUAAGAAAAAUAACAUCCGCGGAAUUAAUAUUCUGUAAAAUUAAUAUAACAAAGAUUUCAUUGACCAAAAAAAUUAUCAAUCAACUGACUAAGUAAGUCUUUAAAUAUGUUUAACUUGAGUCUUUAAAUAAGUAUGAUAAACCAAUAAAAGUACUUUUCAAUGACUAAUUAAUUUAAUUAGUUUUUUAAUACUCUUUUUUCCCAAUUUAAGUGUCUUAAUUAUUUGAUAGAUCAUGAAAUAUAUAUAUAAAAAAAAAAAAUUAAUAGAUUUCUGGGUCUUGUAGUCUUAAUUUAAAGGUUUGUGUACUUGGAGGUAAAGUGAAAGGAUUACGAGAUGGGGAGUCGAGCCCUCACCGGUCACCAACAUGGUGAAAAUUCAGAUAGUCAACCAAGUUUAUGAGGUGUCGACACCAACAAUGGAAAACUCAAUCACAAGAACUACCAACGAUACAAUCACCAAGAUUUUUGAAUCUUGUAGUCUUAACUUAAUGAUUCGUGUACUUGUAACAUGUGAGUUAAUAGGGGGAGAGAAUUACUAGACGAGGAAUCGAGCCCGUACUGACAAAGUGUCGAUGCCAGUAACAAAAAACUCAAUCACAAGAACUACCAACGAUACAAUCACCACCACAAUAGAGUCUCACAUCCAAUGUCUUGUGUGAUAAAAAUGUGUCAUCAAAACUUAAAAAUAAAUUUUACAGAGCGGUUGCUAUUCAAUUCGAUACCUCUUUUCAUUACGUGUAAAGAGUUUUAUUCCAUUAACUACGUCUCAAUCCCAAACAAGUUGAGAUCAACUUCACCUACAACACAAAUGUUUCUUCAAAACUUUUGUAAUCACUUCCCCUUUGAACUCUUCUACAUGAGCAAAAGAAGAAGAAAAAAAGUACAUUUAACCAACAGAGCUAAACAAAUGUUUGGAACAGGCUACCAGAAAAUGCUCGAAUCAGUUUUUUCACUGCAGUUGGUUAAACGAUUUUCAGUCAGCGUUGUCAUGUAGUUCAUCGUGGCUCGUUCUAUCAACUUCAGAACUAUUAACGUGGCCAUUGGCAUCGUCGUUGGAGUCAUAUAUGUGCCCCAAUUUCACGCGUUUGGUCUCUAAGUACCUCUUAUUUUCUCUAGUUAUAGGAGCCAACAGGGGAACUCUACCUGAAAUUGCCAGACCAUAUCCUUUGAGCCCAACAUACUUCGCGGGGUUGUUUGUCAUCAGUUUCAUUGUACGAACACCCAAAUCUCGUAGUAUCUGAAAUCCAAUCAACAGGUUAAUGUUCAAUCAUUGAAGUUAAUAGAAAAACAUAAACAGAAAACGAGAAGAAAUGUCCGUGUGAAGGUAAAGGGAAGCUGCCAUUAGCAUGUAACUCAAGAAAAUCGCAAAUGUUUCACUACUAGCCAACAUUUUUCAGAAUGAUUUAAAGUUGAAGGAACAAAAUAUGUACAAACUACUAACUCAGGGAUCCAAUCGACAAAUUUACUAUAGAUAUAUAAAGGACUAUACUGGCAAUUGCAUUUCUCCCUCACACUCUCUGUAUAUAUAUAUAUGAUCAACAAUAACAUACCAAGUGAAAUCCCACAAAGUGAAGUCAAAGAGGCUGCUUAUGAAAGACCCUCGGCUCAAGUAAAAAAUCAAAGUAGUAAUGAAAAGAUAAAACGGCAGUGAAGAAAACAUGAUAACUAAUAGAAAAGCAGUGUCAAGCAUACAUGCAAGGAACAACAACAUCAACAAAAUAGUGCGAUAACUUAUACAUAAUAAAUAACAGAUGGUAACAAAUAACAAAAGCAAAUAUAUGAUCAACCUUGUAAAAGAAACAGUAAGAUCAAGGAGGACCGAUAAAGAUGUUAAAAUUUAGUUUUAUAAUCAAGAAAAAUGAUAACUUUCUUUGCAGACAAUACCUGUGCGCCAAUACCAUACUCGCGUGAAUCAACAGGUAAUCCCAGCUCUUCAUUAGCUUCAACCGUAUCACGCCCAUCAUCUUGCAGGAUGUAAGCACGAAGUUUAUGUCCCAAACCUAUUCCCCUUCCUUCAUGCCCACGGAGAUAUACUAACACACCCCUUCCAGCUUGUUCAAUUUGGUUCAUUGCAAGCGCUAACUGCUUACCACAGUCACAUCGGGCUGACCCAAAUAUGUCACCGGUGAGACAUUCCGAGUGCACUCUGACAAGAACAUCUUUCCCAUCUCCGAUAUCACCCUAUUAAAAUUGAACCUUGUCAUGAUUGUCAAAGAAUAAUCAGAAGGAUACUCCCUAUUUAAACAAAUCAUGUAUUCACAGUAUAACAAUUUUUUUCAAGAUUAGUUAAAGAAAUGGAGUAGACGGAAUUAUAGAAAAAGUUAGUGAUUAUGGUCAGAACUACAAGAUCAUCUAAAGAGAGAUUUUUUUUUUUUGAGUUAAGGGUAGCCAUCAUCUAAAGAGAGAGAUAUCCACAUAGAAUAUGAAAGAAGCAAGUUUAUUCAGCCCUCUAAUCACAACUUUGCUUACUUUGACCAUGGCAAUAUGUUCAAUUCCAUCCAAAACAGACUUAAAACAAUAGGCUUUAAAAGGUCCCCAAGUUGUUGGUAUAGGUGCAGCAGCAGCGAGAUCUACCAGUUUCUCUCUUUUCCUUCUAUACCUGCCAAAGGAUACAGAAGUCAUACUUCUUCUCAUUUGACGCAAGACUAAUCGGGACACAAAUAAGUACUACUUCGCUUUACAAAGUACUCUAUGAAAGUAGAUAUUCAUGAACAAGUGGUUAGUCUUGUUAUCUUAAGAACAACUAUACUUCAGGAAACUGGAAAGGUUUAGACUUGUCCAGUUUAUGCAUGACCUAUAAAGCCUAUUCGAUUUGCCUAACUCAGAAAUCAUCAUAUUGCCCUUUCAACCGUGUUUCUCCUUGCUCAUGUUGACGUCUAUGCUGAAUGAAUAUUGUCAACUCAUAAUAUAAGUCAGAUUCAGAAUCAUGCAAUUGAGGAUAAGCCAAUCCUGACAUUAGAAUGACACAUUUUAUUUUAUUUUAUUCUGCAAAAGGAAAUGACAAAUAGAUCAAUUCUCAUCCACUCGGAAUCUUCCUAGUAUUAAAGAAUUGGCAUAACCAAACACAAAGCAAUAAGGAAAACAAUGUCUUUCAUACUAAAGGAGCAAGUGAGAGUUAUCCAUUUUCUAUCUUGCUAAAGGGAUUUCAACUUGCAAUAAUAGGUACUCCCUUUAGUCCCAUUUUAUAAGACAGUACCUUCAGUCAAAUCUACAACUAUAAGACGAUCACUACUAGGAUAGAUACCACUUUUUCCUAAAGUACGAUUUUCUUAACAAGUUUUUAAAUAACUUUUUAAAAGCGAAAUCCCUGAAUAUUCUCCUUGUGCAGUUUCUGAGUGUAUGAAGUUAUUUUUGGGAAUCAAUCGAUGUCCAGAAUUAACUUUGAAAAUCAGACUGGUUGACCCUUGUGCUUUGAAUUGCGUCAAUUCUUCCUUGACAGAGGUUUUCUUUUCACAUUUUCUUUGAGGGUUGGAGGUUGCUUGAACAAGCAGAUAUGUUAAUAACCAGAAAAUUAAUCAUAAGGUUUUUAGGUUGCCUUCAUGAGUACAAUCUCAUUUGAAUUAACUUUUUUGAAAUGCAUCCAUUUCUCUAAAUCAGCAGCAUCUUGGGAAAUUCGUCAAUUUCUUCUUUGACAUGUCAGAAGGAUAUAAUACAGGAUUAUUAGCUUUUUUUAUUUUUUAACAAGCGCAGGAUUAUUAGUGUUAGAAUUGUGAAAGGCUGAAAGCUGUUAAUGUUAUUACACAUUUAUCCAAGUCGUUACCUGAUUAAAUCGGCAAUGGAUACAAUCUUUAAGUUCUCAGCCUCAGCAAAUUGACGAAGCCUCGGCAACCUGGCCAUGGAACCAUCAUCAUCCACAAUUUCACAAAGAACAGCAACAGGGUCCAGCCCAGCCAAUACAGCAAGAUCAACAGAAGCUUCAGUAUGGCCAGCUCUUUUUAGCACCCCUCCUUCUCUAUACUUGAGUGGGAAAAUGUGUCCAGGUCGGUUGAAAUCCUCGGGUUUUGAAUCAGCAGAUGCUAGAGCCAAAACUGUUUUUGCCCUAUCAUGUGCAGAUACACCUGUUGUGGUACCAUAUUUUGCAUCCUAUCAGAUCCAACUAAUUGGUGUCAAUGGCUGAGAAUAUUUGAGUUGUGGGCACUAAAUAACUGUCAGAGCAACAUGCCCUAAUAGUAUAUGCUUUUGACGUCUGAACACAGAGCAAUUCCAACCAAAUUACAAAUUGCAGUCAUGACAAGUCAACAAAAGUUUUUUCACGCCUCAAAAGCGAAGUAAUAUGAUUGGAAAACAACUGCUCUCGGUCAUUAUUUCAAGGACUAUGAACAAUAGAUUGAGAAAAUCUCUUAAAAUGCUUAUGCACAAACUGUGAGCCCCUGAUCAAGUUUCAUACCUAUUUGACAUAUUGAAGAAAAGUUUAGUGCACAAAACUUCGCUCAGAUGAGUGUUGGCAUUGGGCACUUAAGCAAACAUUAAAAGAGAGUUGUAACAAAUAUGGAAGUAAAUAGGAGAUCCCCUAGGUUUUGUCCCAGCAAGCCAAUAAAAUGAAUAUGAUGUAUGUGUGUUUCUCCUUGAUAGGAGGGUGUGGAAACGAGUAUCAGGGUAGAGGGUCAGUAGGUUGCCUAGUGUAUAUCCUUACUGUAUCAGGAGUAUUAGUAUUCUUUUUAUGUUUGCUUAUUCUUUGAUCGCUAGAAUGACCUGAUUGUUUCUUUCACUUCGUUUAUCUUAUUAUCCUGUUGUUGUUACUGUUUGUUAUUACUGCUUCUUUUUCUUCUCUCCUUGAGCCAAGGGUCUAUCUGAAACUGCCUCUCUACCCUCACAAGGUAGGAGUAAGGUCUGAGUACACUCUACCCUCCUCAGACCCCACCUUGUUGGAUUAUACUGGGUAUGUUUCUUGAUGUAUGUGUGUCUCAAAGUAAUCCCUUUCAGAUAGAUAUUCACUUCUGAGAUCAAUCAAUCCUCUUGCAUAGAAAAGGCAGUUCGGAUCACAAAUAUACUCAACAAAACCUAUCGAUGAUUUUCUCUAUUAUGUAUCCAAUAUGGAUAUAUGACGAGCAUUGUUUUUGGACCAGCUCAAGGGCAACCGUAGAUCCCAAUGAACAUCACCCUCACACAAUCCGCAUCUUAUUCUAUUUAAAAGAUCUGUCUUGAGGAAUCUAAUCAUGAUAUACAGUAAUCUUUUUUUUCUCAAGUCGAAUAGCAGCUUCUAUAAGCUAAGUUGCUCGGACUCUCCAAAAUUGUUGCCAUACCCUUGACGGAUCGUCCAAAAAUGCACUACUUUUGGAGGAUUAGACACGCACUGUUACGUUUCUGAAGAGUUCGAGCGACAUAGUCUAGAAGUAUAAAGAAAAAGUAGCGGACAUACCACAGAAACAGUGAAAGCAGUAGAGAGUUUCUCCUCAUUUUCCUUUGGCGGCACCAUUAGUGGAAGUUGAAGCCUAUCUAGAUCUUCACCUUUCAUACUUAUGCACACAAUUCCAGUACCAUGUUUUACAAUGAAGGCCAUUGCUUCAGGUGUCACCAAUUGUGCUGCCAUUAUUAAAUCACCCUCGUUUUCUCGGUCUUCAUCAUCUACAACAAUUACCAUCUGCAAGUCUUUUUCCAAAUUACUAAGGGAAAUGAAAGUACAAGUUUCGACUUGUAUGAAACUUAGAAAAUGUACAUAACAAAAAAAGCCCACAUCUUAGGAGAAAACAAACCUUGCCCUGACGAAUGUCCUCAAUAGCCUCCGGAAUAGAAGAGAAUCCUUCAACGGCAUGAUCCAAGUCAAAUUCAUCAACACCAGAGAGAAACCCACUUCUGUUUGGAGUUAUUACGGCAGCAGGUGUUCCAAAAGCUAUUUCAUCAGGUUGUUGAUGAAUUGUAGUUUUUUUUACUCCAUUAUUAACAAAAGAACCUUUUUCUGCACCUUGGUUGUUAAAACAAGACCAGACAUCAUCUUCUCCUGAUAAUAAUGUAGCCCGUAGUAUUCCUUUACCACUUUUGAAGCUGAAGGGAAACUUUCUAGCAAAACUUAGUGAGGACAAAUCUGAUUUAUAGUUUGUCGUUGUUGGAUUGACGAAAUACAGACCAUGGUCGGAUCUAAUAAGAAAGAGAACAUGAAAAACAAUUAUGCGUGAAGCCUUAUAUUAGAAGACAAGAUGGCAAGAAAAAGAAGUAAAAUGCUUGACUUUAUAUGAGCUGAAAUAUUCAACUUCUAGGAAGAAACACCCAUUUGUGUAACUUAAUCCAUACCAAUAUAUGCUCAUAAUAGACUAGUCAAGUCUACACAUUCCAGAGCAACUUAUGAAACUAUUACUUUUCUCCAUUCAUCAAGUACAAACGAUAAUUUCCAUAUAAGCACCGCAUAACGCAAUGUAACGGGAAAAACAAUUUUUAUUAUGACGAGAGAACACGCAGCCGCUACCCUUUGGGUGCACACAAGGGUAACGGGAAAAACUAUUGGAGCUAAAAGUUGCAAUGAUCAUUCACAGAAUGCAAGUUUGGGAUUUCUGAUGAGAUAAAUUUUGUCUUCAGUGAUAUAGUUAUGUUCAUUCAGGGGUUUCUAAAUAUUUUAGCUCCAACAGUUCUCUUUUUUCAUUGUAAAAGAAAAUUAAUUUAUGAAAGCUCAAGAUAGUGAGACAUACAAAAACCAACAUUCUCAAAUGUGCGCUAAAGCCCCGAAGCUCCAUACAACAUGGGAUUGGCACUUUGCUUAGCUUAAUCAGCGCUUUAGUGUAAGAUCCAAGGCAAUACUCAAGUAUGACAGCUUAUAUGUGUAGACACACACACACAUUAUACGUUUGCGCCUUUCUACACUAAGGCGCUUUUAACUACACUUUGCCCUUAAACCCCAAGAGACCUUCGAAGCUUAUCUACAAAUAUUGCUUUGAUAACAUUAACAAAACAAUAUAAAAACAAGAUUUUCAUUUAUAAUGUGCAUCAACAACAGCUCAGAGAAUACUUACAGGACUAUAGCUGUAAAUUCUCUGUAAUGUGGAAUUCCUGCUAUAUUACAUUCAAACCCUGUCUCCUUCAAUAAACAAAUAAAUCCUAUCAUCUUAUUUUAUUCAAUAGCAUACAGAAUUUGUCUGCCUUGGUUUCUUAAACUGAAUGUAUUAGUACUAUCUAAAUAUGUACUCCCUCCGUCCCAUUUUAACUGUCGCUUUAGCUCAAAAGAAUUGUUACUUUAGGAAUUCCAGACUAAAGUAGUUAAUUAUUUCCAACUAUACCCUUAACAUUAAAGAAUAGUUCCUUUUCACACUACACUAUACAUUGUUUUUCUUAAUGGGCGUGAAAAGAGCUAAAGUGACACUUAAAAUGAGACGGAGGGAGUAUUUCGCUAAUCUUAUACUCACACCCCAAAAGACUCCAACUUUUUUAAUCACAAUUUUCUGUAUAAGCACUAUACUAAACAUUGUUUUUCUUAAUGGGCAUGAAAAGAGCUAAAGUGACACUUAAAAUGGGACGGAGGGAGUAUGUCGCCAAUCUUGUACUCACACCCCAAAAGACUCCAACUUUUUUAAUCACAAUUUUCUACAUAAGCACUACACUGAACAUUGUUUUUCUUAAUGAGCGUGAAAAGAGCUAAAGUGACACUUAAAAUGGGACGGAGGGAGUAUUUCGCUAAUCUUGUACUCACACCCCAAAAGAUUCCAACUUUUUUAAUCACAAUUUUCUACAUAAGCACUACAUUAGACAUUGUUUUUCUUAAUGGACGUGAAAAGAGCUAAAGUGAAACUUAAAAUGGGACGGAGGGAGUAUUUCGCUAAUCUUGUACUCACACCCCAAAAGACUCCAACUUUUUUAAAUGACAAUUUUCUACAUAAGCACUACACUAAAGAUUGUUUUUUUAAUGAGCGUGAAAAGAGCUAAAGUGACACUUAAAAUGGGACGGAGGGAGUAUUUCGCUAAUCUUGCACUCACACCCCAAAAGAUUCCAACUUAUUUAAUCAUAAUUUUCUACAUAAGCACUACACUAAACUUUGUUUUUCUUAAUGGGCGUGAAAAGAGCUAAGUGACACUUAAACUGGGACGGAAGAAGUAUUUCCCUAAAUCUUAAACUCACACCCCAAAAGAUUCCAACUUUUUUAAUCACAAUUUUCUACAAAAGCACACUAUCCAAAGCAAGCAAAUUCACACACACACACACAAACAAAAAAAAAGAAAACACUUACAAUAUCUAGGUCUAAGAUGCUCCUAGAAUCCACUACACACAACCUAAAAAGGAACAAACUUUACAAGAUUUUUGGAACUAAAAUGAAAUGGGGUCAAAGAAAAUGGCAAAAAUUAACCAAAUUUCUAGUGAUCUUUGCUAUUUUCAAGCAAUAAAAAGAAAAGGGUGCUCAAGAAAACUCACCUCAAAUGAGAAAAAACCAUUGAAUUUUGAAUUGAAGCCAUUAUUAUGCUGACCCAAUUUGAGUAUAAAGUUGAAAUCUUUGAUGAAAUUGAAGAAGGCUUAAAGAGUAGUUGCGGAUAAAAAAAGCAGCUACGAGAAGAUGCUCAAUGGAGCUGUUAAAGGCCACUGUUUGGGGAUCAUGAGGACUUUGAAUAUGAACCGUUGGAUUAGGAUGCUUUUUUUAAGAUGUUGGAAUUUUAGGGUCCUUUGGUAGUCGGUUAAAGUUAUAUAUGGAUAGUUACGAUUGCACCUAUCCACAAAAUAAUACUAUGUGGAUAUAUUCAUUAUUGAAUUAUGAAUAUAUGUACUAGUUAUGUGAAUUUUUAAAUUACAACUCAAAUACUAUUUUCAACGCCCAAUUAUAUGGUCAUAGGUUAGCCACCAACCAUGAUGGCUGGCUAGCCUGUUUUAUCCCACCACUACACGCGAAUUUAUGUAAACUGGAGCGAAUGUUACGAUAUUCGAACGUUUUGAUUGAAAUUCAAUAUAUAUUUAUAUAUGUAUAUGUAUAAGAAAAUGUGCAAAUUUUAAUCAUGUCAUCCAAAUGAACAAUGAAUCUCAGCUAAUGGUUAAAACUCAAGUUACGUAUAUGUUAUACUUAGAACUUAUGUUAUAUAUAUAUAUAUAUAUAUAUAUAUUACUGUUUGAAGUUGCGUGACAUUCGAAAUUUUAAAUUUUAAAUUUGCUUUAUUUACCAUUCACAAUAUUGUCUUCAACACCAUUCAACCUCUAUAUUAUUUAAACAAAAUAUUAGAUAUUAAUACUAAUCAUAAAAAUAUGACACAUCGCUCUCUUUUAUUUAUAAUUUAUAUUUUAUAUAUAUAGGUUAAUUGCAAUCAAGAAAAAGUGGGAUUGUAAUAAUUGUACUAAAAACUAGAUUCUUUGAUAAUCAGUGGGUGCAGCACAAAAAGAGACUCUGAAUUUGGACUUAGAUUUUUAAUAACUUUUUCCUCAAAAAAGUUACUCAUAUUGUGUUUGAUGUUAUUGUUAGGGGCAUUUGACAGUUGAUUACAGCUACGUAUGUAUCAAGAAAAUAUUAUUUUAGGUAAGAUUUAAUUAUUUAUAUACUAUUAGUUAUUUUAUUUUAUAUCUUACAUAUAAUAUAAUACAUAAAUUCUCUCAUAACUUAUAUGUGUAUUAGACAUUAGAUAGAUGAAUUUCUAAAUUACAAUUCAAACACCAUUAUUAAUUUAAUACAUGAAUAAUUUAUCUGUUAACAAGUAAUCAAAUAUAAUAUUACUUAUACACAAAUUACUAUCGACAUAACUCAUAUCCAAACUAGCUACUAAACGACCCAUGUAUCAUCAGCAUAAGACAUAAAGCAGGAGUAGUGGUGGUGUCCAUUUACAUAGUGAAUUGCUCUUGACCUUAUCCUUAGUUGAAAAUGACUUGAAAAUCAUUGCCUUUUGAAAUGAAAUUUCAAAUCAUAAACAGACAAAAUCUUUGGUGUGAAAGUUUGUGUCCAAAAAUUUUCUUUUUAUCUCGUUCAAAAUUUAUAUUUAGUUAAUUUGGGGUUCGAUAAUUAAGAUUGGCUCAAGAAAAAACUAUUCGAGAAAAAACUAUUCCUUAUUAACGAGGUCCGAAUCGGAGAUUUCUAAUUAAAGACGAAAUACCUUAUCACUAUAAUCUAUCAAGAAAUUCAAAUAAGCAUUCAAUAUGUGAGUGUAAAUUAUAUUAUUUUUAUACAUGAGCCAUGCUAAUCUUUUCUAUAUUGUUUCAAUUUGAUCAGGUUAAUCUUAUUAUCCAUGUUUGAUUCCUAAAACUUCUAUACGAAACAUAAAUUAAAUCCAUAUUUAUUUUAAUCUAUCCCGAAAAUAAUGUAUUUUUAGAUAUCAAUAUUAAUCAUAGAAAGAUGACACAUCAUCGUCUCUAUCUAUAAUCUAUUUAUAUGUUAAUUGCAAACAAGUAAAAUACUAAAUAAUAAAUCCCUUGACAAUGUCAGUAGAUGCAGCACAAAAAAAGGGUCUGGAUUUGGAUCUACUAUUGUUGGGGCCGAUAAUAAUGUAUUUUUAUGUAUUUAAGAAGUAGUAUUUUUAUAAUUCUAUGUAAUACGCUAUUAUAAUAAUUAGCAGUAUUUUAAUUAAUAAUAUAGAAAGAAGAAGAACAAUGGCUAAAACCCUACAAUAAAACUCAAAACGUGGAGAUAGCCUGGGUAUAACACAAAUAGAGCCACUCAAAGCAAACUUAAAUUUCAAGGUAUUUUAUUCAUAUAGCAACCAUGAGUUCUUACGAUUGUUAGGUAUUAUUUUAUAAUGUAUCGUAAUGUCUGAAUAGAUUGUAUUGUUCUACGUCAUUUGAUAAUGUCACACAUUCGUGAUUUGAAUGAAAGGGUUUAUCACUUACUUGAGAAAUAUUGGAUAAACCCAAAAAAUAGGAAAAACUCUACCCGGUUUUUUAAUUUAAAGGUUGCUGUCAAGGUUUGCUUUGAGAUUCUCCCCUUAAAUCGUGACAUUCCAAUACUUUACCUGAUAAAGUUUAUGAUCAUAAAAUUUAAGGACUAUACACAUUUUUAAAUCAAGAUUAUAAGUUUCAAAAUUCUUUCUUUAUAUUUUAAAUAUCAUGUCCAAUUAAAUUAAGACACGUAAAUUAAAAUAACGGAGUAAAAAUUAAUAAAAUAGACGAGACAUGUAAAAAGUCAGAGAAUAAAAAGUCUAUCACGGGUAUAUAAUACCAACAUAUCAUAUAUGUCCAUAUAUUUUGUCAUUUAUUGUCCUUUUUCAGCCAAAAAUAUCCAAUUACCUUUUUUCUUGAUAAAAGUGACUUAAAUUAUUAUUAAAAGCAUAUAAACUUAAAAAAGGAAAUUCAUAAAACAAAUUCAAAUUCAAAAAGAUAUAAUUGUCUCCACUUUCUAUUCCCUCCACUUCUCCCUUUUUUUCCAUUUAUAUCUCAAAAUUUCUUCCUCCCACCACUUGCCAAUAGCCAUUAUCGAAGAUGAGAACUUGAAAGUGAAUCAUUCGAUAUUAAGAUUUUCAUAAAAUAAAAGGUGUUUUUUUCGUUCUAAAGGUGAAUAAAGGUAAGAAAAUUCGAUCAUAUACUACGCAUGAUAACAAUUGUUUUUGUGUUAUUAUAUGCAUGAAUUGUUAAAUUCUUCACUUUAUUGUUUUUCUAGGUGUUAUAGGGAGAUCAUAGAAUUAGAAUCAAUUUGCUAUCAUACAUGCUAGAUGUUACAUGUAAUAUUCUUUUUGAACUAUAUAAUGAAUAAAAUUCUGAAUUCGUCUUUUAUGAUAACAGGUGGUUAAUAACUAGAUGUCAACUCCGAAGUCUCCCCUUCCUACCCACAAUUCUACACCCUCCUCCCCUAACCACUCUCCUCCUCCUCCUCCUCCUUCUCGUCCUCGUCGCCUUCCCCCAUGGAAAGGUGCAAAGCUAAUCCCACUAGCUAUAUCGAUAGCAAUUGGCCUGAUUUUUCGUUUCGCGGUCCCAAAACCCCAUAAAGUCACUACAAACGCGUGGCAACUCCUAGCCAUUUUCCUUGCAACUAUCUCGGGCCUUGUUUUAGGCCCGUUACCAGUAGGUGCAUGGGCUUUUCUUUGUCUCACAGUUACUGUCGUCACAAAAACCUUAACAUUCGCUGCGGCGUUUGCUGCUUUCACUAAUGAAGUCAUUUGGUUAAUUGUUGUAUCAUUUUUUUUCUCAAGAGGAUUUAUUAAAACUGGGCUUGGUGAUAGAAUUGCCUUAUGUUUUGUAAGUUGGCUUGGGAAAAAUACAUUGGGCCUAUCUUAUGGGCUUGCGUUAAGUGAAGCAGCCAUUUCUCCAGCAAUUCCAAGUACUACUGCAAGAGCAGGUGGCAUUUUUUUGCCUAUAAUUAAAUCAUUGGCAGUUACAGCUGAUAGUCACCCAAAAAAUGAUUCUUCUAGGAAGCUUGGAGCCUAUCUUAUUCAAUCUCAAUUGCAGGUUAGAAUUCAUUUUUUACGAGUUUUAAGUUAUAUAUAUCGUCAGUAUAAUGUCAUCCAAUCACCUUUAACAUGUUAUACCUGGUAAUCUAUCUUAUUUUAUGAUUACAAGUAGUCCUUUUAUCACUACUAGAAAUUAAAGUUUUUUUUUCACCGCGAAUCAGUGGGAAAUUUGUGCUAUAGAACAUUUUGUUGAACCAACUCACUGAAAAAAUGCAUGAUCAUGAUACUAGCUUGUUUAAUUUAUUCAUUUACUAUAUAUAGUUGUGAUAACUACUUAAUGGACUACCAACAUGGGUUGUGGUGCACUGGUGGGAGUGUUUCACCCUUAACCAGAGGUCUCGGGUUUGAGCCCUGGGUAUGGAGAAAAUCUUGUUGGAAGCACCACCCCGAAUGGGCCCUGCAGAGCGCGAUCCGAAUUUAGUCACCGGGUGGGAAACCAAAAAAAACUACAUCAAUGUUGUUAGCAAUUUGGAAUAACACAAGUAUUUAACAUGUUAUAACAAGUCAAAGAAAAGAUUGUCCGGUGCAAUAAGCUCCUACUAUGUGUGGGGUUUGAGAAAGGGUUGGACCACUUACGCAGCCUUACCUUGCAUUUCUGUAAGAUGUUGUUUCCACAGCUUGAACCUCUGACCUCGUUGAUCACAUGACAGCUAACUUGACUAAUGCAAAUUUAUUUUGUGAUGCAUUUUACAGUGUUCUAGUAGUUCAAGUGCCCUGUUCCUAACAGCUGCUGCACAAAAUCUGUUGUGUGUGAAAUUAGCUGAGGGAUUAGGUGUACAAGUAUCAAGUAAAUGGCUGACUUGGCUCAAGGCUUCGUGUAUACCAGCAGUUAUAUCGCUUUUAGUUACUCCAGUUGUACUAUACAAGAUUUUUCCUCCAGAAAUGAAGGAUACACCAGAUGCUCCAUUAAUGGCUAGAAGGAGACUGCAACAGAUGGGGCCAAUGAAAAGCGAUGAAUGGGUGAUGACGAUUGUGAUGCUUGUAACAGUUGGAUUAUGGAUUGCAGGGUAUGUUCAAAAAAAUCCUGAUAUAAAACAAUGUAUUAUCAUCUGUUGUUUUCUUUUGCUUUGGUUAUCGUAUUAUUUGCUAUCGUUACUCUUAUGUAUUUCAUUAUUUACUUUAUAUGAAUCGAGGGUCUUUCAGAAACAGUCUUUUGGGGGUAAGGUAAGGUACGUGUACAUAACACCCCUCCAAACCCCACUUGUAGGAUUAUACUGGAUAUGUUGUUGUUGCUUUGGAUGUGUUCGAUAUUUCUUUUGGUUGUGUAGUGUUUCUUCCACGUUGGUUGAGAGAAUGAACGCUUUCUUCUUAUAUGGUUAAGGAUGAUUUUUAUGAGCUAACUUUCUAGUUGGGGACAAGUCCAGGGAGAGUGAAUCGUCGAAUAGGGAGAAGCGAUAUCACGGUAAACGCCUUUGGAAAACAAAGUCCAUUUUCUUUACAAAUAAGCUGCUUAAUUCCUUGUUUGUCUAAUGUUGGAUCCCUAUGUUAUAUUGUCCACUCACUGGAUGUUCAGUCCCGGGCGUGUGGAGGGGGCAAGGGAGUGUUAAGUUUCCACAUUGGUUGAGAAAAUGGACUAUUGUCCUUUUUUUAGGUCGGAUAUCCUUCAUCUUAUGAACUAGUUUUUGUGGUCAGGUUAGACUCGUUUUCCAUUUUAUACUUAAUAUCUCUUCAUUAUAUCCCUCUGCUCAUGACCUGAGUGACAUGUGGUUUGUACUUCAACAUAAAAUUUGAUUACCAACUGGUUUUGUAUAAAUUUGGUCUUGGGAUUGAGACGUAAUUGUUAUUGUUAUUGUUAUUGUUGAUUCUAUCUACCUUUUGAUCGAAUAACAUUUUCUUGGAUUAUAGUUGUCAUGUGUUGAACAUUUUCUAUUCCUCUCAUGAUCUGAUAGAUCCAAUCAUGAUAUUGAAGGAGGGGACCGUUUCUUGAGAACUCGAAUCCUGAAUCAAGUCCUUGUCUUGACAUUUGAACAUAUUGCUGAUGUUGCAUCUUCCUGUUUCUAUAUGUCUAUUUCGUUAUAUAGCCGAUGCUUGAUUAUGUCAACAACUUUCAUUUUAAUUUUUGUACAGAGAGGCUAUUGGCCUAGCAAGUGUUAUCACAGCAAUGCUGGGAUUGGCGCUACUUUUGACUUUCGGAAUACUUGAUUGGAAUGAUUGCUUGAGUGAAAAAUCCGCGUGGGAUACCUUAGCUUGGUUCGGGGUUUUAAUAGGCAUGGCAUCACAGUUAACAACUCUGGGAGUUGUCGCCUGGAUGUCAAAUGCUGUGGGUAACUACCUCGAAUCUCUUUCACUACAUUGGUUCGGAGCGUUUUGUAUCCUUCAAGCAGCAUAUUUCUUCAUCCAUUACUUGUUUGCUAGUCAAACUGGUCAUGUUGCAGCAUUGUAUUCAGCAUUUCUCGCAAUGUGCUUAGCAGCAAAAGUUCCUGGUCUUUUUGCUGCGUUGGCUUUGGGAUACAACACAAAUCUUUUUGGCGGGUUGACACAUUACAGCAGUGGUCAAGCUGCAGUAUACUAUGGAGGUAACUUAAUCGAAUCAUAUCUCUCUUUUAUUUGACAGAAUAUUGUUCUAAUUGAUUCGAGAGAAAAGUACUGCUUAUAUGGAUGAGAUCGUAUUAUUUGUUGUUGUUACUGUUCUCUUCUUCAUUGUUUUCAACCUGGCUUGUUCGCUACUGCAAUUGCUUUACACGCCUACUUUCUUAUAUGCUCUUGAGCCGAGGUCUAGCAGAAACAGUCUUUCUACCUUCAUAAGGUAGGAGUAAGGUUGUGUACACGCCACCCUCCCCAGACUUCACUUGUGGGAUUUAUGUUGUUUGUUGUUGUCGUCAAUAUGCAUGAGAAUUUCGGGGCAAAAUGAUUCUGACAUAAGCUUACAAAUUUGUUAACGGUGCAUCUUGAAUGGUUUAUGUAUCGACUUUGAUAGAAAACAGAACUGCGGAAAGGAGCAACUACUUAAGGCUUAAAAUGACAUAGAAUAAGCGGAAAUUGUUUCUGUUUUCUGAAUGUGUAUGUCUGCAACUUCCAAAGUCAUAUUUUUCGUGCAGCAAGAGUGGUAUCAGUAUUUCAACUUCUUUCUUGUUUAUCUGUAUUCAAUAUUUCGAUAACUUAUUCCCUUUUCGUUUAUUUGAGGAAUUCGAACUGGUCUUAUUUUCAAUUGCUCUUCUUUGGCAGCUGGUUAUGUAGAACUACGCGAUGUUUUCAAAUUGGGAAUCAUCAUAGCUAUUAUGAAUAUUGUCAUAUGGGCAGUAGCUGGAGCUGGUUGGUGGAAGGUUCUUGGCCUUUACUAAUACUGAAAUAAGUAAGUGAAUUCCAUGACUUCCUUCUUAUCGAAUAUUCGUGUAAGAAUGCAGCUAAAAAGUUCCCUGUGACUUGAAACCUCGAGCUCGAGGAUGUAGUUUUCUGAUAAAAGAUCGAGCAAUGCAUGCAUUAAUAAUCUAUGAUGAUCUUCUAAGUAAACAGGUGGUAGCAUAUUAACAAAUGGCAUUAUUGUUACACCAAUCACCAGGUCGUGAGGCUUUCCCAGGGGAUGUUUUCUACUUACAUUUCCGUCUCUUAGAAAGAGUGACCCAACGAUCUAACCAGACAGGCAUAGGUAGCUUAAGUAGCUCUCUUGGAUGUCAGUUUCCUCACCAUCUUAGUCGGACUAGUCUAAAAAACUUUCACUUGAACUGUCAAGACUCAGUUUUUUUGUGGGAAUCCCCUUCUAGUACUACGUUUCUAAGUUCUUCUUUUCAAUCCAAGUCGUGGUAAUAGUUUCUAUGUUAGGUCUAACGAGAUUUAUUUUGCUUAAGGCUACGUUUACCUAACUUUUACGAAGGAUUUUGCUUUCAAUUUUGAUCCGUUAAUCGUUACAUAAGAACAUACUAUUGAUCUUGCUAUAUCUAACAGGAAUUUUCUGGUGUAAUAACAAUUCAGGACAGGAUGCAUUUGUCCCAAAAAGCUCUAAUUAAAGGUAUUGAUUUGUCAUCAAUUAUAUCGCGAUACAAUUUGUUGGUGGUGGAGCAAGGAUUUUUAGUUUAUGGGGUACUAGACCACAAUUCUUUUUGCUUAUUGGGUUCUGGAUAAAUUACUUUUACCAAUUAUAUGAAUUUUUUUAACACGAAUACAAUCUUUUGAUGCAGUUUACUGUCUGUGUUGAACUGGCCUCUUAUUGCAUCUCAUUCCCAUCCUGGGAAGGUAGAACCAAAGAAAGGAAAGAACGAGAUGGUGGUUUUUGUUGUUCCCGCGAAGCAAAGAUCAUUCAUUAUUAUUAGCUUCAAUCUUUUUUAAAAUGCUCUAUCAUUGCCAUACCAAAUUAUUCGCUAUGGUUCAAUAUUUUUAAGUAUGGUUUUGGUUUUGUGUAGUAUGAUAAGUCGGUAAUCAUAGUUUGCACACCCCUAUAUGACACAAAUCAAUCAUUUUUUUAAUCUCAAAUAAUAUAUUUGUGUUUCAUAAACUUGUUUUGUUGUUCAUCAUCAAAUCAUUAAGCCUGUUCAAAGAUCGAUCACAUUCUUUCAUACAUUGCCUUCGUUCUCUUAAAAAUGUCAUUGCUACGCUCAACUUAAGGCACUUUCAUAUAUUCACUCAUGAUAAGCUCAUCAAGUACUAGAUCUUUCGAGUCUUUCAAGUACGUUAACUUAACGAAUAUCUUAAUGGCGAACUUGACUUCAUUAUACAACUACUUUUAAAGCACAAUGUACAACACUCAAAACUAUUAAUUAUAUGACUACUUUAGAUUAAAUUUUAUAAAAACAAUAAUUGUAAAGUGAAAGGAGUGAAAUCCAAAGCCCUCAUCAAUUUUCUACUUUUCUUUUUUACUUUUCCAAGUUUUUAUUUUUGCCCUUUAGACAAAGCACUCACAAAAUAGGGAAAAAAAAUAAAAAUAAAGCAUUGAAAGGAAAGUUGCCUACCAUUAAGGGGUCUACCCUCUAAAAAGCCCACUUUUUCAUCAAAAUCUUUUUUCCCCAUUUGUUACUUUUCAAUUUUAUAUUUAUUUCUGAUUUCCUUUUUCCUAGUUUUUGAUUCUUUACCGUUCGUGCAUUCUUUCUACUUGUCGUCCUUAUUAAAAAUAAAUUAUCUAAAAUAGUAAUAAUCUUAAAAAAUAAAGAUGUAAUCAACUUUUUGCUAGUUUCCACUUAUGCAGCAAGAACCAGACCUAUAACUCAAGUCAAUUCGUCAGUUUUUUCUAAAUCUACAGGUGAGAUACUCACGAAAUACAUACAAGAUCAUCACUAGGAUCAUCAUAGUUACCGAUCAUCGAUGAACGGAUCGAAUUACCCAAUCAAAGUUGACUUCAAUCAUCAUGUAUUGAACAGAAGCAAAAACCUCAAUAACGAUCAAACGAUAAUAAAGUGAUAGUAAGUUAAUAUUUUUCUUUAAAAAGGUGAAAAAAAUAUAACAAGUAAGAUGGAUCGGAGGGAUUACAAUUAAUCAUAGGUCAUAUCAGCUACUCCAAAAACAAAAAGAUAACUCUCUUUUCCUACUUUCUAAAGUAAAUGGAAAAAAUAUGUUCUUUAUUUUAUUGCUACUUUUCUUUUUCUUUUUUGGUGACAGUCACUUUCACUUUUGAAAAUUAAACUCAAAACUUGGCUAUCUAUCACUUUCUUCUGGAAAUAAACUGUAUGUAUAAAUAUUCCAAUACUAUCCAUGUGAUUCAUGCAACAUGUAUUAAGAUAUAUCUAGGUUAAUUUGAUCAAUUUUAAAUCAUGUUUUAAAUUGCUUUAAAAAUUUGGAUUGAACUAAUCCAUUGACCAAAAAAAGUUCAUGAGAAAAAAUCAAGUUAUAUAGGCCCUAGAGUACUACUCAUAAAGAAAUUCUUUUUCUUUAUUAAAUUCAUAACAAAAUAUAUUCAGAAAGAUCACAAAAAAAGAACAUUAUUUCAAGGUUUUUCUAUAGGCAUAGAUCGAGCAUCAAUAAUUUUGUAUUCGAUCAAAAAUUCGGUUGAUUGAUCAAGGUGGAUAGCUCCAGUAGACCUAUAACUUUACGAUUUUUAGUAUGAAUGUAAAUACAAUUAUUACUUGAUCAAUAUUCUAUCUACUCUAAUAGUGACAAUUUACAUCUAUAAAAUCACAAGAUAUAUAUGGUAUAAUAAUAGUAAUCCUUAGAGAUACAACAUGAGGUGUUUAAGGGGCAAAAUUAAUCAUGAGAUUUGUGAUCUUGAUAUUAAUUAUGUUAGAAUAUAAUUAACUUAGAUUGUCUCAAAUCAAUUAGCCUAGUACUUUCUUGGGUCUUAAUUAAUUAUGAUUAUCAAGAAGCAAACAACCAAAAGAUUUAUGCCAGCAUUUGGUACAAUAAUAUUGAUUUUAAGCAUUAAACUCCAUAUUUAAAAUUAUACAUAGUCCUAGUAAAUAACUAAAUAUGGCACAGUUUUAUUAAUGAAAUAGGUUAUUAAUAAAUUAUGCUCUUAAUUAAUUUCAAGAUUAGCAAAUUCACACGGGGAAGCAAGAAUAUUGUACUAUGGCAUUCAUUAUUUUAUGUUAUAUAUAUAAAAUAUAAAAUAAUAAUAAAAUGGAUGUGGGGGAGAAAAGAUAAAGUAAUUUUUAAUUUUAAAAAAAUGUAUUAAAUUUUUGUCACUUUUGGUACUUGUUGAAAAGUAUGAUCAACAAGUUUAAAAUUUUGGCUGAUUGUGUAAAUUGACUAUUACUAUUCUCUUGGAGGCCUUCAAGAACUGUUCUAAUUAGGAAAAUAAGAGUGUGAUUAAAAGGUGUUUAAUUAAGGCAGAAGGUUGAUAGGUAGUUAAGUAGUGUUUAAUUUUUUUAUUGUAUUAUUUUUCUUACUCUCAUAUUAUGUAAUUUGUCUUCGAUUCUAUUAUCUGUUGUUUUUAUUGUAUUUUGCUUCAUUUAUCGUACUAUUUGUUAUUGUUGCUGGUCAUGUUUUCUUCUCAUUAUUUUCGGUAUGACUUUUUCAUUAUAGUAUUUCCUUUACAUAUGUUACAUGAGUUGAGUAUUUAUCAGAAAUAACCUUUAUAUUUUCACAAGGCAGAGAUAAGGUUAAUUGCAUAUACAUUUUUUUUGACCCACUUAUAGAACUACAUUUGAUAUAUUAUUAUUGUUGUUGUUGUAUACCAAGAUAUGAUAACGAUAAAUUAAAGUUGAAGGGACGCUUUCGAACAACGAUAAAUAUAACACAUCGAUCACAAAUAUAUUCAGUCAAUAAAAUCAGUAUCUACAGUUUAAUGCUUGUAUAAAUAUAAAAUGUUCAAUGCAUCGAGCUGUCUUUUUUACCACAAAAAUAUGACAAACUACUAAUUGAUUAAAUUACUAUUGCUUAGUAUUUUGAUGAGAACCAAUCAUUUUCUUGUUAUCUUUGCAUGGAUUUGUUAAAGUGAAGAUGUUAUAUAUCUGCAAAACCAAGAAGCUAAGGUGCUUUUUCAAAGUUUUUGUUGAUGGACACAUAAUGAUUAAAUCAUAGAAAGAUGUAUUUUAUUAUUAUUAUUAUAUAAAUAAAUAAAAAUAAUAUUUAAGAAAAAAUGUUAUGGGGAUUUAAACAUAUACUUUUGUGCAGAGUCAGAAACACUAAUUAAUAUGUCCCAUACUUUUUGAUCUCUUAUCAACUACAAGAAGAUCCCCCUCUUCCCAUACCCCUUUUUCAGUGAACUCAAAAUAUUUUUUUUUCUUUUUUUGGUGUAUUUAUUGAGAAUUUACUUUAAACUUUAUGACUCAAGAUUGUGUAUAUAAUUCUAAUCGUCUUAAAGUAGCGAAAUUCCUUAUAAUAUAAAUAACGAUCUACUUAAAUGGUGUAACGAUUAUUCUAUUAUUUCUAAUGUGAAAAUUCAGUGAAAUUUGAAUUCCUUGUAAAAAUGCAAACUAUUAAUGUCUAGACGAUAAGAUAUCAUACAUUUUAACUAUAUAUAUAUCUUCUCCGUAACAAGCUUAUUCAAAUAUUUAUGAUAGACGGGAGGUAAUGACACACAACAAAUUAAAUUAGAAAUUUGUGGCAAAUGAUCUCACAUCAAAUGACAAUAAUUUUAUACCCUAAAGAAUAUUUCAUAUAAUCUCUAUAUUUAUGUAGUACAGUUUAAAUUUUGAGAGUAGUCAAACAAUUUAAUUUGAUUGUGAAUUCAAAUAUGAAAUCUUUAAGUUUUUUGAAAUAAAAUUUAUAUAUUUGAAAAUUAUCUAAAGAGUACUAUUAUAAGUCACAAUAAUAAAUAAUUUAAAAUAUUUAAAAAAUAUGAAAAAUUAUGCUAAUUAUUUUUUAUUUAAAUAACAAAAUUUGAAAAAUGCGACAUGCAUAAAUUGGGACGGAAAGAGUUUUUUUUUUUCCAAUGAUGUGGCCAUAUGGACAGCUUUUGCUUUGCAAUUUUAUGUCUACCUUGAAAACAAGCAAAUGAACUUAAUUCAAAUAUUUUGUUUUUUCGUUGAAACUUUUAUAUGUUUUUUUCUUUUUCUUUUUGAACAAAUGCUAAGUAAACUCACAUGCACACAACUCAUCAAUUCCCCUUUUUUUUCUUGUGGGGUUUCCCUUUGGGACAAUGGAGAAAACUUAACUCACACUAACACGUGUUGUCCACAUUAUAAAAGUGAAAAAUUCUUUUUUUUUCUUCUAUCAAAUUCAGAGAAGUUUCAGAUUCGAGUUUUGAGUAUAAAAUUAUUUUUAUUGAAAACUAUUUCACUCUCAGUAUGAUCAAACUUUUUAAUGUGAUCAAUUUAGAUUUUAUUGAACUCUCAUACAAAUAUCGAACAUCAGACGACACAUAAAAGAAUUAAACAAUUUCAUUUUUUCAUUAAUAGGACUUACUUUUUGUUGCCUAUGGUGGGCUCCUAUUUAUUUUUAAAAAAAAUUAUUUUAUAAUAUGAUGAGAAGCUAGUAGAAUAUUACAGCUAAAUUCCCACUUGCAUGUCCCCUAGAUGUCACAACUCAAAAGAAAUGCCAAUUUUUCUUCCAUCUACUAAACAAUAAGACUUUUUUGAAUGAGAGUUUUGAAAAUGAAAUCUCUCAUUGCCAUCGAUCUAAAGUUUUUUAAAAUUAUAUAUUGAUUCGAGACAGAUUAGAAUUUGAAUUUAAUAUGUUCGAUUGAUCUUGAGAAUUUUAUCAUCGAAUUUACCCUUUUGAAUUAUAUCGAUUACGAAUUAAAUAUUUAUCAAAAAAAAAGUUAGUAGUUUUUCAUAUAGAUACGGAUAUACUGUGUACAUGUCAAAAAAAUAUUAUGAUCAGUUGAACUCAUAAUCAGAAUAUUAAACCCGACUAUGAUAAUAAUAUCACGUAAUUAUAUAGUUUUCGAUAUAUGAAAAACAUUAACAUGAACAAAGUAACAUUAGGACAACGUAUAAAUAACUCAAUCAUUUUUUUCCCAUUGAAACCAUUCUUAUAUCAAAUACGUCUAUAUGAAUAAAAUACAUGCAUCGUACUUACACAGAGGCGUAUUUAGGAUUUUGAGAUGAUGGAUACACUAUUACAAAAAGGCGGAUUUAAGAUAUAAAUAUAUGUGAAUGUGUAUCGAUGUUUAGAUUCAUUUGUUGUUGUUUUUUCGAUUUCUUGCUCGAGCUAGAUGAUGAAAAAUUAUCAUGUCCAAUUUUUCGGGGGAUGGAUAUAUAAAAAUUCAGGAAUUAUGUGUAAUUGAUUAAUAUUUUUGUAAUAAGAGUACAAUUGACAAAUAUUAUGGAGAUCCCACUUAAUUAUAAUCCUAUUAAGUCCUAAUUAAAUAGUAGGGAGCUAUAUAUAGACUGUAGAGGAACAUUUAAUUUCUUGAUUGAAAAAACUGAUGUGAAAUUAUUAUAAAUAAUUAAAAAAAUAUAUAAAAGUUACAAGAGUCAAACAAGACAUAAAUUUGUUUUUAUUAAAAUGCAGGAUAUGGACCCAAUAUACAGGAUGUUAACUUAUUUUCUAGUGUCUACGUGUUUGGGCAAACAUUUAAUUUAAUUGGAAAAUAAUCAUUUUUUCACAUCUUUAUAGUUGUCUGUGCAACCAAAUUAGCCUGUUUUGUUUUUUGUUUUUAAUCGGUAUGAAUCGUAAUGGGGUGAUCAUUUGUGAUCCUUUAAUUCUAAAUCAAAAGUUUCAAAUUCAAGCAUCAGAAAAAUGAAAUAUUUUUGUUAAAGCAUUACACCUAAUAAUAAGUUAUAAUGCACAAGUUCAAAUUAAAUUGAAUCACGUUAUAAAUAUCGAACAUCUAGUGAAAAACCUAAAAAAAAAAAGUUUUUUUUUUAUUAUAGAUUUUUCAAUGAUGUUAUAAUUACAAGUAGGUUUUAACCACAUGCUUAGAUAUGAUAAAGCAGACAAAUUAUAUUCUUCUCUGUUCUUUUUUUUCACAUAUCAAGGCAAGAAGAGAUAUUGGUCACAAACUCUUGAAACUGUAUGUGGAUUGAAUUACGUAUCAUUAAAGAAGAUAUGAAUUUAUUAAAAAAAAUUGUAUCGGAAUUAUGAUUUCUUCACUCUUAAUUAAAUAUUUUUAUUUAAGUUUUUAUUUUACAAGAAAUGUAGUGGAAUUUUCUAAUACACUGUCGAAAACAUCAUCUAUUAAUUCAUUAGGGAUAUGAUAUUGAUAUAAGGAUCGUACAAUAUCAUUCACUAUCCAAUUUAGAAAUAUUCUUUUUCCAAGACAAACCAUACAAUAAAGAAAUUGAAAACUUAACCAAGUUAUGAGCUACAACAUAACUUUUUGUCAUUUUAUUAAUUUAUUUUAAAAUUACUAAUUUCGAUAAAUUAAUUGAGGGUGAUAUUAAAAAUAAUACCAUAAUUUUUGUAUAAAUAAUCUUAAGGUUACAUAUAUAGAAAUAUUAAAAGUUAACCACACUCGUCAUAAAAAAUUAAAAUUUUAUCAAUAUUCGAUGUUUAUAUAAAAUUAAGGGAAAAGGGCCUGAUAUACCCCUCAACUUUGUCAUUUGGAGCUGAUAUGCCCCNNNNNNNNNNNNNNNNNNNNNNNNNNNNNNNNNNNNNNNNNNNNNNNNNNNNNNNNNNNNNNNNNNNNNNNNNNNNNNNNNNNNNNNNNNNNNNNNNNNNNNNNNNNNNNNNNNNNNNNNNNNNNNNNNNNNNNNNNNNNNNNNNNNNNNNNNNNNNNNNNNNNNNNNNNNNNNNNNNNNNNNNNNNNNNNNNNNNNNNNNNNNNNNNNNNNNNNNNNNNNNNNNNNNNNNNNNNNNNNNNNNNNNNNNNNNNNNNNNNNNNNNNNNNNNNNNNNNNNNNNNNNNNNNNNNNNNNNNNNNNNNNNNNNNNNNNNNNNNNNNNNNNNNNNNNNNNNNNNNNNNNNNNNNNNNNNNNNNNNNNNNNNNNNNNNNNNNNNNNNNNNNNNNNNNNNNNNNNNNNNNNNNNNNNNNNNNNNNNNNNNNNNNNNNNNNNNNNNNNNNNNNNNNNNNNNNNNNNNNNNNNNNNNNNNNNNNNNNNNNNNNNNNNNNNNNNNNNNNNNNNNNNNNNNNNNNNNNNNNNNNNNNNNNNNNNNNNNNNNNNNNNNNNNNNNNNNNNNNNNNNNNCUUUUUCAUUUUCGUUAGAGGAAAAGGGUAUAUAUCAGCCAUUUAUAUAUAAGUAGGGGUAUAUAUGAGCUACUUUCAUAACGAGAGUUAUAUCAGCUCUAAAUGACAAAGUUGAGGGGUAUAUCAGGCCCUUUUCCCAUAAAAUAUUAAUGACGUACAGAAAUUGUCAUGCUAAAGUCACAAACAUGAACGCAUGUGUAAUAUCUAAAAUUAUUAUUUGGAAAAACUAAAAUUUAAAUGAAAGUCGGACAAGAAAUUUUUGUUGCCAUAUUCUUUUUUUGUCUGAUUGAAAUAUUAUGAGGUUUAUCUGUUUCUAAAAAUAUUUUUUGUUAAUAUUUCCAAUAUAUUUAGGCUGUUUGGUCCUCCUUAUCCCUAAAAAGACGCCAAAAAAUAUAUUUUCUGUCUUUUAUUAUUAUUAUUUUUGUGAUCCAUUUUCUUUCCUUUUCCCUUUAAUACGUAAAAGUAUGUUAACCAAACUGUAACAAAAAGUCAAUAUUUACCUUUCAAUUAAUCGGCGAUACACGCACCAACGACGCCGAGGAAAUGAAAUGGGGUUAUGCUGACGUGUCAAAUAUCUUUAGCCAGCUCAGCUCAAGCCGAGCCGAGCCGAGCCGUGCUCCUUUCCACAUUCUGCUUAUCACUACUAUAUAGCUUAUACUGCCAUGUCAAUAUUCACUUUAUUCUUAUCCAACAUUUUAUUAAAAGACAAAAAUUACCCUUAAUUUUUUCUUCUAUUGAGUAUAUAAAAUAAUAUAAGAGGAGUUUGAAUUUUAAGACAUUUUAUUAAGAAUAAAAAUUUUAAAUAUGAUUUAACUAAUCAUUAUUUUCAAAAUGAAUUAACUUCUAUGUGAUGUUAGUUGACUUUAAAAAAAAAUAAUAUUGGCGAGAGUUAAUUUUUGAGAUAGUCACUCAAUUAAAUGUUAUUAUUUCAAAAUAUUACUUUGGUUGUUGAAACAGUUGCAAUCAAGUAGAAAAAUAAUUUUUCGAAAAUAAUAACUAUUAAUUGAGUGAACAUACACAAUAAAUCCUUAACACAUAAUUAAAGCUCACUAAUAAUAGUUUAUUUGUCUCAAUUUAUUUAUAUGAAUGUAUUUGACUGAUAAUGAAACAAAUGCUUUUCAAAUUCAUAGUCCCAAAUAUAAAUUAUAUAUAUUUGUAUAGCUAGAAAUGAUCUCAUAUAAAAAGUCUAAAAAUUGAAAAUAUGUCCUUCUUUUAGUUCGAUAAAAAAUGUUUAUCGCAUAAAUUAACAUAUAAAUCUUUUUUUCAAUGUAAUUAGCGCAUAAAACUUAAACCCAAGAAAAUAACAUACUAUUCUUCUAUUUCAAUUUAUGGAUAAAAAAAAUAAAUUACGGCUAUAAAUUAUUUCAAUAAGAGUAAAAUAAACGGUUUGAUAUUAAAAUUCUUACUAAAUAUGAAAAAAUGUCACUUUUUAUAACUGACUAAAAAAGAAAAAGUGUCACGUAAACGAAAAACAGAGAAAAUAUACUAUAUUAUAAUAUAAUAUUUUUUAUAUCUAUUAUAUAAUAAUAAUAUAUAAAUAUAUAAGCUAAAUCCAAAAGAAUAUCCCCUUAAACUAGAAAACAUUGCAUUUAGGUUGAAUUUGGCUUGAAUUUAGAGUUCAUUUCAUUUCCCCCCCAAGAAAUUUGCAAAGUGCACCUAACCCCAGUCAGAUUCUAACCCUACAUCUGACUCACCUUUGGUUUUAUUUAAAGUGAGAGAAAGUGUUAAGCAAAGGGCCAGCAGGUUUUUUCUCAUCUCAAUUUUCACAACUCUCCCAAAAAAAAAUUCUUCUCAAAAAAAAAAAAAAAAAAAACUUUUAUGGGGUGUUUCAACAUUUGAUUUUUAAGUUAAUGAUGUAAAAAUAGGAAAAAUAUUGUCAAAUUUACCCUCUUUUUUAUCUAUCAAUUUCUUCCCUCUAUUAGAUUUUCUUGAUUUUUGCCUUCCAAUUCUUGAUGGGUUGUUGUGAGGGGGAGGAAAUAUCUAAAAAGGAGAAAAAUGGAAGUUUGGUUAGUAGAGAAGAAAAGGGGUUGCACAAAAUCAAAUCUUUCACUCAAAACUUUGCCAUUUUGGUUGGUUUUAGUAGUGAAAGUAUCUGUUUUCAUGUCUUCUUCUUAUAAGUGAGAAAAAAAAAGGACAAGAACACUAAAUUUAACUCCUUUUUUGCACUUCUGUUUCGCAGUAAAUAUAAGGUUAAGAAAGAAUUCAAGUAAGUGAACUUUGAUCCCAAAACAAAAGGAAACAAAUAUUGAACUUUGUUAUUGUUUGGAAAUUUGGAUCAUCAAAUCAUAAUUAUGAAAAGACUUAGUAGCUCUGAUUCUUUGGGAGCUUUGAUGUCCAUGUGUCCAAGUACUACAGGUACUUGUUAAUAUGCCUAAGUGAACUACUAGUAUAUGAUUAUAGUUUUGAAAACUUUUUUCUCUUAAAUUUAUUUAUAUUCUCAUUUCAUGUUCUUGUAUUUAUAACCUUUUUCCAUGCUCCAAUCCCUAGUUUUAGCUAUAAUGAAAACUAAUGGGGAAUAUUGAAAAAAAUUGGAUUUUUUAAUUGAAUCAAGAAGAGUGUCUUUUUUUUCUUCCUGUUUUAGCAAGUUUUUGUGCUUGACUCUUUAUACCAUUGUUUGUUCUAUUUCCAUAUUUAGCUUUCUUCAAGGCAAUUAUGUGGUCUCUUUAUUUCAUCAUGUUUGGUCAUAAGUUUCGAAGUUGAAAUUUGAAAAUUUGAGCUUUUUUGAAGUUGUGGAAGUCUCAAAUGCCCCCCAAAACUAGCUCACUUAUGAUGUUUGUAAUCAAAUUUCACCGUCAAACAGAUAUGAUGAUAAAUUUUCAAAAUCUAUGGUCAUACGCUAGCGAAUCAUGUCUUUACUCAUAUUCUUGUUUAUAUAUCAUAGUAUGAGCUAGUUUUGAGCAAAACAGAUAUUUGAAGAUAAAUUUUCGUCGUGUCUAUUCUCAUGUUCUUGAAUUUUGAUGUUUUUUUUAGAUGACCAGAACCAUGGGAACAGCCAUGUGUAUUCAACAAGAGACUUUCAGUCUAUGUUAGAAUUAGGCUUAGAUGAAGAAGGAUGUGUGGAAGAAUCUGGCCAAAAGAAAAGGAGACUAAGUGUUGAACAAGUGAAAGCUUUGGAGAAGAAUUUUGAAGUUGAGAACAAACUUGAACCUGAAAGGAAAGUGAAAUUGGCUCAAGAACUUGGAUUGCAGCCUAGACAAGUAGCUGUUUGGUUCCAAAACCGACGUGCUCGAUGGAAAACAAAGCAACUUGAGAGAGAUUACAAUGUUCUUAAAGCCAAUUUUGAUUCACUCAAACACAACUAUGAAUCUCUCAAACAUGACAAUGAAGCUCUUGGCAAAGAGGUACUAAUUUAAUGAAGGCUUGUGUUGUUAGUCUUGUUAUAGUAUAGUAAGUUUGAGUUCUAUGCAUUCGAUUUACGACUAUAGAUUAGGGGAGGGAGGGUCUAAAAUUUAAACUUUAUGGGUUCCAGUUCGAGAAUCUAUCAGAAACAGUCUAUUAGGAUGUAUACACUAGCCUUUUCCAGACCUUACGUGUGGGAUUUUAUUUUGUUUGUUGUUGUUGUUAUUCUAAUUCGAGAUUCUACCAUAAGUCAUUUGAUUUACACAAUCAAGUGACCUAUGAUAUGACUACGGUUUAAAGGAGGGUCCAACAUUUAAACUUUUAUGUGUCUAGUUCUAGGUACUACCAUAACUCAUUUGAUUUACACUAUCAAGUGGCCUAUGAUAUGACUACAUAUUAGAGGAGAGUCUUAAAUUUGAACUUUAUGUGUCUAGUUCGAGAUUCUACCGUAACUCAUUUGAUUUACACAAUCAAGUGACUCAUGAUACGACUAUGGAUUUAAGGAGUGUCGAACAUUUAAACUUUAUGUGUCUAGUUCUUAGAUUCUACCAUAAACUCAUUUGAUUUACACAAUCAAGUGACUUAUGAUGCGACUAUAUAUUAAAGGACGGUCCAAAAUUUGAACUUUUUGGGUUCUAGUUCGAGAUUCCACUAUAACUCUGACCUAUGAUACGACUGCUGAUUAGAGGAUGGUCCAAAAUUUGAACUUUAUGGGUUCUAAGUUCGAGAUUCUACCAUAACUCAUUUAAUUUAUCGAGUUCAAAAUAAAUUGAUACUUGGUACAGAUAAACAUUUAAAGUUUGAAUCUUUUCUAUCGAAACAACCUCUAUGUCCAAAACUCCACUUAUGGGAUUACCCCGAGUAUGUUGUUGUUUAAAGUUCGAAUCUUUACUGAUAUUAUGUCUUUCGAUAGAUUCGUGAGCUGAAAUUAAAGGUAUAUGGUGGUGAGAAUGGAGAAAGCAGAGGAGCUGUUGUUGUUUCAGUGAAGGAAGAAGCUAUGGAAUCUGAAAAUGAUGACAAAAUGAUUGAACAGAACAAGCCAAAUGAUCUUCUUGAAGAAGAAGAAGACGAAGAUCAAGAUCAAGAUGAUGAUGUCGAGAUCAAUGCUACUAUUGCAUCCACCAUUUUUGCUGAUUUUAACAAAGAUGGUUCCUCAGAUAGUGACAACUCAAGUGCAAUCUUGAAUGAAGAUAACAGUCCAAAUGCUGCUGCAAUUUCAUCGUCUGGUGCAUUCUUGAUCUCUAAUGAUGGUGGGGUUGGUUGUUCAUCUCCGUUGAAUUUCACCUUCAAGUUCACAGAAUCAAGUCCAAAGUCAAUUCUUGGAGAUUCCCAAAAAGCUAAUUGUUUUACUUAUCAACCUUCGUCAACAACAACAACAACACAGUAUGUGAAGAUGGAGGAACAUAAUUUCUUCAACGGCGAAGAAUCCUGCAGUACUCUUUUCUCAGAUGAACAAGCUCCUACACUUCAAUGGUACUGUUCUGAAGAUUGGAACUUUAAAGACACUCCUAGUCAUCUUUCUUGAUCAUGAAUAAAGGAGGAAAUUGUCUUAUGGAACCAAAUUUUGUAUAGUGGUUAAAAAAAUUGCCUAAUGGGAACAAAGUGAAAAGAUGAAGUUUUUGGAUUUUUCCCAAGUUGAAGAGGGGGUUGUGGGGNNNNNNNNNNNNNNNNNNNNNNNNNNNNNNNNNNNNNNNNNNNNNNNNNNNNNNNNNNNNNNNNNNNNNNNNNNNNNNNNNNNNNNNNNNNNNNNNNNNNNNNNNNNNNNNNNNNNNNNNNNNNNNNNNNNNNNNNNNNNNNNNNNNNNNNNNNNNNNNNNNNNNNNNNNNNNNNNNNNNNNNNNNNNNNNNNNNNNNNNNNNNNNNNNNNNNNNNNNNNNNNNNNNNNNNNNNNNNNNNNNNNNNNNNNNNNNNNNNNNNNNNNNNNNNNNNNNNNNNNNNNNNNNNNNNNNNNNNNNNNNNNNNNNNNNNNNNNNNNNNNNNNNNNNNNNNNNNNNNNNNNNNNNNNNNNNNNNNNNNNNNNNNNNNNNNNNNNNNNNNNNNNNNNNNNNNNNNNNNNNNNNNNNNNNNNNNNNNNNNNNNNNNNNNNNNNNNNNNNNNNNNNNNNNNNNNNNNNNNNNNNGGGGGGGGGUGAAAAGGGGGUGGUAGGGGUGAUAAGUAAAAAAAAAAAAGGGAGAUGAAGAAAAAUUCAAGAAAAUGGUUAUGGAGAGAAAAAGAGCUUCCUUUGUAAUGGCAAAUAAAAGUGGCUAAAAGUAUAAAUAACCAUGCAUUCUAUAUUUGAAUGAUUUUAUAAUCCUUUUUCCAUGCAUGAAGGGAAAAUGAAAAUGGUAAUUCAUAAUUAAUAAUUAUGCUUUUAAAUUAUUUGAUAUGAAAAGUUAAACUCAUCAAUCCAGGCACAUUUCGAGAUUCAAAUAAAUCUAUCUUUGAUUGUAAUUUUUUAUAUGUUUUUUAGAACUUUUGAAUUAUUAUUUAUUGUGACUUAUAGUAUUUUUUACGUAGUUUACAAAUAUGUAAAUUUCAUAUAAAAAUUUGAAGAUUUAAUGAGUAAAUUUUUUAUUAAAUUUAAAUUAUUUGACUCUUAAAAAAUGUAGUGUCAUAUAAAUUGAGACAAAAGAGGAGCUUUUCUCCUUUGUUAUAAUCUAUGUGAACAUUAUUUUAAUAGUCUAUUUGAAGAGAAUUACACGAGUAAUUUGAAAAUGUUUGCUUCUCAUUUUAAGAGCCAC